AGGCGCGUAGCUCAGCUGGUUAGAGCACCACCUUGACAUGGUGGGGGUCGUUGGUUCGAAUCCAAUCGCGCCUA
rnacentral:tRNA from 1 species